rnacentral:lncRNA from 1 species
GAUGAAUUCACAUACGAGCCCGAGCAUCCUAACAUAGACCGAUUCUUCUGCAUGUUCAAUGCAAGCAAACUCCCCUACAACCUGGAAGAAUGCAAAAAGGUAAAGCACCACAAGCAUAGCGCUCACGACAUGAUAAAUGCUGCGAAAAAUAAAACAUCAAAAUGCUUACAAUUUUCGUUGCUGCUUUCAAGGUUUUGGAUCCCAAGUGAACAUUUUUUCUCGAGGGGCACCGGAAUUUGCGGUUACCAUGGUAACGCGAAAUACCGGAAAAAAUUCGGACGGAAUUUGAAAUUAAAUUUUGAAUUCAAUUUUUUUUCAGGUCGAUAUAGAUAGGUGUUUAACUUCAAAAGAUAUCACCUACUUGCUCCUGGCGUAGUGGCUGUUUAAGCCGAACUGCACCUUGCUAAAAGGUCGCGAGUUCGACACCUGUCAUUCCAAGUAUUUUGAAACAAGGGAAUAGCUAAAUAUUUGUGUACUUUGCACUAAUAUUGAUUGGCCCUUGCGCCAUGUAAUCGACUAGUAUGCUACCAUGUAAUCAACUGCUAUGUUAUCGUCUGAAUGACUUUUCAGUAGCCUCAAUUUCGUAACUAAGUAGCUGAUGCUCCCAUGGUGAACCCAUUCCCCGUUUUGUUCUUAUGUUUUCCAAAUUGGAGUAUUUCAGAAUACAAAGUGGCAAAAAUAAAACACACAUUACCAAGCUGAUGCUUCUACACUGCCUGCUAACCGCCCCCGCAUAAUAUCGGCCUCCAGACACUUGGGAAACAAAU